UACGUAGGGGGCAAGCGUUGUCCGGAAUCAUUGGGCGUAAAGAGCGUGUAGGCGGCUCGAUAAGUCUGCUGUGAAAGUCCAGGCUCAACCCUGGAAGGCCGGUGGAAACUGUCGGGCUAGAGUCCGGAAGAGGCGAGUGGAAUUCCCGGUGUAGCGGUGAAAUGCGCAGAUAUCAGGAGGAACACCGGUGGCGAAGGCGGGUCUCUGGGCCGAUACUGACGCUGAGGAGCGAAAGCGUGGGGAGCGAACAGG
rnacentral:rRNA from 1 species